rnacentral:rRNA from 1 species
GGAUUCCCCUAGUAACUGCGAGUGAAGCGGGAAGAGCUCAAAUUUAAAAUCUGGCGGCUUUGCCGUCCGAGUUGUAAUUUAGAGAAGCGUUUUCCGCGCCGGACCGUGUACAAGUCUCCUGGAACGGAGCGUCAUAGAGGGUGAGAAUCCCGUCUUUGACACGGAACCCCCGGGGCUAUGUGAUGCGCUCUCGAAGAGUCGAGUUGUUUGGGAAUGCAGCUCAAAAUGGGUGGUGAACUCCAUCUAAAGCUAAAUAUUGGCGAGAGACCGAUAGCGAACAAGUACCGUGAGGGAAAGAUGAAAAGCACUUUGGAAAGAGAGUGAAACAGUACGUGAAAUUGCUGAAAGGGAAACGCUUGAAGUCAGUCGCGUCCGUCAGAAUUCAGCCCCCGUGGUGUACUUUCUGGCGGACGGGCCAGCAUCACUUUCGGUCGUCGGAAAAUGGCAGGGGAAAAGUGGCACCUUCGGGUGUGUUAUAGUCCCCCGUCGGAUACGACGGCCGGGAGUGAGGACCGCCUUUUUUGCAGGAUGCUGGCGUAAUGGCUUUAAACGACCCGUCUUGAAACACGGACCAAGGAGUCUAACAUGCCCGCGAGUGUUCGGGUGGAAAACCCGUGCGCGUAAUGAAAGUGAAAGUUGGGAAGGCUGUCGCGGCCUGCACCGACGCCCGGACCUGAGGCUUGCCGACGGUUCUGCGGUAGAGCGUGUAUGUUGGGACCCGAAAGAUGGUGAACUAUGCCUGAAUAGGGUGAAGCCAGAGGAAACUCUGGUGGAGGCUCGUAGCGAUUCUGACGUGCAAAUCGAUCGUCAAAUUUGGGUAUAGGGG